GGAUCUUCUUCUAGAUAUCGAUCCUUUAAGAAAGGAAAAAAGAAUAAGAAAAAGGGUGCAAAGUGCUGGGGCACCCAAGCCCAAUUAGAUCAAGAAAUCCAAGUCUAACCAGAGUCAGACGAAAUGCUUCUACUACAAGAAGCAGGGGCACUGGAAGAGAAAUUAUCCUCAGUACAUUACCUACCUAGAUCCGAUCAAGCCGAGAAAGAAGCAAGUUAUUGCUGGACAAGAUAAUUAUAUGAUAACACCUUGUAAUUUUUUAAUUUAUGAUUCUACUACCUGGAUAUUAGAUACCAAAAGUUUUUUUAAUAUUUGUAAUUCGUUGCAGGGUCUGCAGGUCAGUAGG
rnacentral:lncRNA from 1 species